UAUACAAAAAGUCUCGUGCACACGAAGCGUCAGAAGUAUAUGUAAAUACUUCUAGAGGCUACAACUAGUAGAUAUCAGAGUUUGCAAGAAAAACUAAUACAUAACCGAAAGGGAUAAUUGCCUAUAUACCCUCCAUACGUGUGAAAAUAUUCGAUUUAUUCUUUUUUUUUUCUUUCUAGUUAUUGCAAAAUAUCCUUACAGUUAUCUUCUGUUAAGUUAAUUUAGAUUAAAUGUGAGUUAUAUAUAUACCAUAGUUAAAAAAAAUUAAAAUGCCAAUUUUACCUUUAACUUAAGAGCAAAUAAGAAAUAUUGAUGACAGUAAAGGAGUAUAUUGGAAAAGACCAAAAGUCAAAAUAUUUUUUGUGCCAUUGACUUCAAGAGCAAAUAAGAAAGUCAGUGAUAAUGGAAGGGUAUAUUUAAAAUGGCAAAAUAGUAAUUUUACAGAGAUAACAAAGUUCAUUAAUAGAUUUUAACUCUAGGGGUAUAUUAGAAAUAAGUUGGAACGUAGAAAAGAUAUUUUCAAUAUUAACUUUCUAAGAGGGAUAAAUCGAAAAGUCGGAAACUUUUCAGAAAUAUAUAAGCGAUUACCCCUAUAAGAAACUAUACUGUAUAUAUAUUAACUACCAAAAUAGAACAUCAUCC
rnacentral:lncRNA from 1 species